GUCUAAGGCUUUACUGCUCUGAACAAGCUUGGUCUUUUCUGAUAUGUGAAACUCAGCAAGAUCAGGACUGGUUAGAACUUGAGUAGGAGACCAUCUGGGAAGGCCAGGUGCUGUGGCAG
rnacentral:rRNA from 1 species